AUUGAACGCUGGCGGCAGGCUUAACACAUGCAAGUCGAGCGGGGAAGGUUGCUUUGGUAACUGACCUAGCGGCGGACGGGUGAGUAAUGCUUAGGAAUCUGCCUAUUAGUGGGGGACAACAUUCCGAAAGGAAUGCUAAUACCGCAUACGCCCUACGGGGGAAAGCAGGGGAUCUUCGGACCUCGCGCUAAUAGAUGAGCCGAAGUCGGAUUAGCUAGUGGGUGGGGUAAAGGCCUACCAAGGCGACGAUCUGUAGCGGGUCUGAGAGGAUGAUCCGCCACACUGGGACUGAGACGCGGCCCAGACUCCUACGGGAGGCAGCAGUGGGGAAUAUUGUACAAUGGGCGGAAGCCUGAUCCAGCCAUGCCGCGUGUGUGAAGAAGGCCUUUUGGUUGUAAAGCACUUUAAGCGAGGAUGAGGCUCCUUUAGUUAAUACCUAAAGAGAGUGGACGUUACUCGCAGAAUAAGCACCGGCUAAUUCUGUGCCAGCAGCCGCGGUAA
rnacentral:rRNA from 1 species